GGAAAAAAAACCACCCACCCACCUGACGGAAGGGGAAUGAGUUAUAAAGCUUUGAUCCGAAGCAGAUGAUGGUGGAAAUACUCCCGUUUUGAGGUUGAAAUUGGUAGUUUCGUAUGCACGUAGUUUCAUUUAAGGAUAUAAGUGAGUUUUUUUGUGUAUUUUCAGGCACUGAAGUAUCCCUGUGGACCUGAUCUGAGCUGCUCUGGCACACUGACGUUGCAGUGAGGUUCACUGUCCUCGAGUAUUUGAAAGAGAGAAAACAAACAAAUGUCAGUGUGGUAGUGGCCUAAAAUUCAGUUCUCCUCUGCCAUGUUACAGUGGUGAAAGCAUCUGAGCCACAUGUUAUGCUGGUAUCCAUGUUAGGAAGAUGAUCUAGCAAAAACAGUGGGAUGGGGUGAUGAGGAAUUAACUGUUAUCAUGAAAGCAUACUGUGUUGUCUGCACUGAGGUUAGAGUGCCAUGGAAAAAACCCUCUCAUGUGUGCUCUCUUUGUCCCACUUCCAGGCUUGGAAGGUUCCUUGUUCUGAUGCUGAUCUUAACAGUUCACUGUCCACAGCCAGGAUCCGUCUGACCAAAGAUUUCCCUCACUGCUUUUUGAAUCUCCAGCAACCCCGAGCAGCCUCAUGUCAUUGCAAACCACACCUUUUCCUGAAGGAGGGAUGGAGCUUGAACACAAGUCUCAUUGUUUCCAGUUCAUUGUUCAAGAAUUCUGUCAUCUGUUUCUGUGGCUGAUUUAUUUGUUAACAAGAGAGCACUCGGGAAACUAUUCCUGUAUUGCUUUGUUACUUAUGUCGAUGCCCUUCUUUUUCUUUGAAAUAUUUAGGGGAAUCUAUGCACAGCUUACACUAGAUAUCAAGGAAACCAUGGUGGAAGAUUGACAUCUAAACAUACUCUGUUUCUUGUCAAAGUAAAGAUGUCAUCCCAGAUGCACCAAAAUGUUGCAGACAGAAUGUUGAGUUGCACUUAAUUUGGGCAACAAACAGUAAGAGCAGCCAAUGCUUAAUGAAGAUAAAUUGUUCUUCAGUUACUAGCAACGAUUCUUUGAAACAGUUACCCUGCAUUUAACAGUG
rnacentral:lncRNA from 1 species